UUGUACUAAUUGUAUGUUCUUUCAGAAG
rnacentral:piRNA from 1 species